rnacentral:tRNA from 1 species
CGGUGGCUUAGUUGGUAAAGCACUCGUCUAGCAUACAAGAGUCGUGGGUUGGAAUCCAACCUG